rnacentral:tRNA from 1 species
GGCGGGAUGCGAGAGUGGUUGAAUCGGAUCGUCUCGAAAACGAUUGCCGCCGUAAGGCGACCGCAGGUUCGAAUCCUGCUCCCGCCG